AUACCUUUCUCGGCCUUUUGGCUAAGAUCAAGUGUAGUAUCUGUUCUUAUCAGUUUAAUAUCUGAUAUGUGGAUCAUGUGUCCAUUUUGAUAUUAUAAAAUUAAUUUUUAAUGGGGGAAGGCUCAUAAUAGUAGCUUGCUACUAAGGUCUUCAAGUGUCGCUUGGGUAUUGCACUAUUGCCUUAGUCUGGCGCACCCCAA
rnacentral:snRNA from 1 species